rnacentral:lncRNA from 1 species
GGGUAUAGAAGAGGGUGGUGAGGGUGAAGAGUUGGAUGAGGGGGUACCUGCUGAUGGUGAGAGGAUAGAAGUUGUUGUCGGCCAGGCUGAGGAAGUUGUUGGUGAGGAUGUUGUAGUUGUUGGUGAGGGUAUAGAUGCUAUAGUUGUUGGUGAGGCUGAGGAAGUUCAUGGUGAGGAAAAUGAAAAUGAUGUUCAGAGGACAAAGGCAGCUGAAGUUGAACUUCA